rnacentral:rRNA from 1 species
AGCAGCCGCGGUAAUUCCAGCUCCAAUUGCGUAUAUUAAAGUUGUUGCAGUUAAAAAGCUCGUAGUUGAAUUUCGGGGUUCUACCGUCGGUCGGGCUACCAAGUCUGUACUGGUGUGUAGAAUUUCUACCUUCUGGGGAACCAUCAUGUUAUUAAUUUAGCGUGGUGGGAAACCAGGACCUUUACCUUGAAAAAAUUAGAGUGUUCAAAGCAGGCUUAUGUCUGAAUACAUUAGCAUGGAAUAAUAGAAUAGGACGGUGGUCCUGUUUUGUUGGUUUCUGAAUCACCGUAAUGAUUAAUAGGGAUAGUUGGGGCAUUAGUAUUCAAUUGUCAGAGGUGAAAUUCUUGGAUUUAUUGAAGACUAACUUCUGCGAAAGCAUUUGCCAAGGAUGUUUUCAUUAAUCAAGAACGAAAGUUAGGGGAUCGAAGACGAUCAGAUACCGCCGUAGUCUUAACCAUAAACUAUGCCGACUAGGGAUCGGACGAUGUUAAAUUUUAUUGACUCG